UACGAAGGUGGCAAGCGUUACUCGGAAUUACUAGGCGUAAAGGGCAGGUAGGUGGUUUUGUAAGUCUGUUGUGAAAGCUCCUGGCUUAACUGGGAGAGGUCAACGGAUACUGCAGAACUUGAGUAUAGGAGAGGUUACUGGAAUUCCCGGUGUAGCGGUGAAAUGCGCAGAGAUCGGGAGGAACACCAAUGGCGAAAGCAGGUAACUGGACUAUUACUGACACUCAGCUGCGAAAGCUAGGGGAGCAAACAGG
rnacentral:rRNA from 1 species